AACGAACGCUGGCGGUAUGCUUAACACAUGCAAGUCGAACGAACAAAAUUGGGGCUUGCUCCAAUUUUAGUGAGUGGCAAACGGGUGAGUAACACGUGGGAAUCUACCUAUCAGUACGGAAUAACAUUUGGAAACAGAUGCUAAUACCGUAUAUUCUCCAAGGAGGAAAGAUUUAUCGCUGAUAGAUGAGCCCGCGCAAGAUUAGGUAGUUGGUAGGGUAAUGGCCUACCAAGCCGACGAUCUUUAGCUGGUCUGAGAGGAUGAUCAGCCACACUGGGACUGAGACACGGCCCAGACUCCUACGGGAGGCAGCAGUGGGGAAUAUUGGACAAUGGGCGAAAGCCUGAUCCAGCAAUACCGCGUGAAUGAUGAAGGCCUUAGGGUUGUAAAGUUCUUUUAGUUGGAAAGAUAAUGACGGUACCAACAGAGAAAGCCCCGGCUAACUCCGUGCCAGCAGCCGCCGUAA
rnacentral:rRNA from 1 species